GAGUCUCGCUCUGUCAGUCAGG
rnacentral:miRNA from 1 species